rnacentral:lncRNA from 1 species
AUUUGGCAAGAGUUAAAUAUAGCUCUCUGACCUUGACUUGCACCCUAAGAAAAAGUCUAAUCUCCAUCAAAAUCUCUGCUUUCUCUACAGUUGCUCUUGGAGGCAAUGAUCAGAUGAUCUACUCUUUCAGUUAGAAGAAAACACUUCCUUACAACCACUUGAAACAACAAGGCAGGUGCAAUCAUUACAGACUUUGCUCUCUUGCAUCUCCUCCAGAAAACUUCCCCAAUGGCUAAGAAUUUUCCUCUUUUUUCAAACUUGAGAAGCAAAAGUGCUGUAACAAUUGAGAAACUAUUCAGAGGAAGAAUGCCAACUUUUGACAAGUCAACUUUUAUCUUACUGAAGGGACCAGAAGAUAUCAUCAGAUGA